rnacentral:tRNA from 1 species
GCGCCCAUAGCUCAAUGGCAGAGCAGUUGCCUCUUAAGCAAUUGGUUGGAGGUUCGAGUCCUCCUGGGCGCA